ACGAACGCUGGCGGCAUACCUAACACAUGCAAGUCGAACGAGACCUUCGGGUCUAGUGGCGCACGGGUGCGUAACGCGUGGGAACCUGCCCUUAGGUUCGGAAUAACUCCCCGAAAGGGGUGCUAAUACCGGAUAAUGUCUUCGGACCAAAGAUUUAUCGCCUUUGGAUGGGCCCGCGUUGGAUUAGCUAGUUGGUAGGGUAAAAGCCUACCAAGGCGACGAUCCAUAGCUGGUCUGAGAGGAUGAUCAGCCACACUGGGACUGAGACACGGCCCAGACUCCUACGGGAGGCAGCAGUGGGGAAUAUUGGACAAUGGGCGAAAGCCUGAUCCAGCAAUGCCGCGUGAGUGAUGAAGGCCUUAGGGUUGUAAAGCUCUUUUACCCGGGAUGAUAAUGACAGUACCGGGAGAAUAAGCUCCGGCUAACUCCG
rnacentral:rRNA from 1 species